ACAUCAUGCUCGAUGCGCUCGCCCUGUUCUGAGAUGAAUUUGGAAUUUGAACUCUUCCAGAUGAUUUACGAGGCACAGUUGCGUGCUGUUACGUUGCCUGUUUUCAAUAAUUGCGAUGCGAUUGUGGGGCUGCACAGAGCUGGAUUGCAUCGGGUAAAUCUCGACUGAAGGCCGACUGGAAAGGGGCUAUUCAGAUAUGAUCCAGUCAAGGACGUUUGACGGUGCUUCCAAGAACCUUUUAGAGUUUGUUGUGCUUUUUUUUCCCCCCCAAUUUGCGUGAGACAAGCAAAUACCAAACUCGACUGUGUUUUGAUGUGUGUUUUUUUGUUUUGUUGCGGAGCAGUCGCUGUCGCAGCGCUACCAGAAGCAGAUCUCGUCGGCGGUCCGAGAUGAAGUGUCUCGGGUUCUGCCCUCGCUGGUGCCAGAGGGCGGCACGUCGCCACGGCCCAAAGUCGCCGCUCACGUCACCGGAAGCUUCACACCCAAAUUGGAGGGAGGAGGAGCAGGAGGAGGAGCUGGUAAGACGUCCGCAAUGGAACACAAGAGAAGAGAAUCAGCCUUUGCUCGACUCGCAAACGGCAAAGUUUCACUUUUACAGCAGCAGACCACAAUCAUGACAGAAUUGAAAAUGACCAAAACAUCUGCUGCGCGGCCGUUAUGUUUUGACAUUUUCAAUUGCGCUCCACAGACCGAUGCAGCCGCUAGUUUUGAUUGUAAAGUCAACAAUCAAUUAUCGACA